rnacentral:rRNA from 1 species
UACGUAGGGGGCAAGCGUUGUCCGGAAUCAUUGGGCGUAAAGAGCGUGUAGGCGGCCUGGUAAGUCCGCUGUGAAAGUCCAGGGCUCAACCCUGGAAUGCCGGUGGAAACUGUCAGGCUCGAGUCCGGAAGAGGCGAGUGGAAUUCCUGGUGUAGCGGUGAAGUGCGCAGAUAUCAGGAGGAACACCAAUGGCGAAGGCAGCUCGCUGGGACGGUACUGACGCUCAUGCACGAAAGCGUGGGGAGCAAACAGG